GACGAACGCUGGCGGCGUGCUUAACACAUGCAAGUCGAACGAAGCGGCGAACGGGUGAGUAAGACGUCGGUAACCUGCCCUCCUUUUUGGGAUAAGUCUUGGAAACGAGGUCUAAUACCGAAUAAAGGGGGAUGGGCUCGAGGCCUAUCAGCUUGUUGGUGGGGUGAUGGUCUACCAAGGCGGUGCCGGGUAGCCUGCCUUGGAGGGGGAGCGGCCACAUGGGGGCUGGGGUAGGGCCCAAACUCCUACGGGGCGCAGGAAUGGGAGGUAUUGGAAAAUGGGCUAAAGCCUGAUGCAGCGACGCCGCGCGGGGGAUAGAGACUUUCGGGUUGUAAACCUCUUUCGCUAGAGAACGGGUAAGUGGCGAAUGAGCGCCGGCUAGCUGCGUGCCAGCAGCCGCGGUAAUUC
rnacentral:rRNA from 1 species